UACGCCGUGGCAAUGGGGUAGCCAAAAGUAGCCUAUUUUUCUUCGGCGAACGUUUGCAGUGGCAAACUUUCCAUACUUGGCGACUGCGUCUACAAUACCGUCGCAUGAGAGAACAGCUACAAGCCCAAUUCUCUUAUUCAAUCUAUUUUCUAAUCAAAAAGCCCUAGCCUAUUUCCCUCAAUCUCUGUUCGAUCUCUACCACAACCUUCUUUCUCUUCCUCUCCAUUCUGGAUCUAACCCAACAAAUAACAUCGCAGAACUUGGUGGCCACUGUGUUGGUCUAAAUCCAGGGAUUAUUCUUUUUGGGUAUUUCAAUUUGGCUUUCUCUUCAGUCGUUCCUCUUCCUCUCUCUUUGAAUCCGAUUCAACUCAGAUGUGUCCAAUUUAAUGGCUGGGUCAUUCGUGCGAGAUUCGUUCUGUCCGAGCGAAAUUCAUGAGGAAUUUCUAUUGAACUCGGAUGCGUUCUCAUCUCUGUUCUCGGAAAGUUCGCAUCUUGGGGUUGGCCUUCAUGCUUCACUAUUGGUAAGUGAAGAGCAACAUUUGGACUUGGAGAAGUGUAACUGGCUAAUGGUGAUUUCUGGUAUGGAUAACAUUUUGAAAUGUCACUACAAAAAAGAAUUGCAACCGCCACGGCAGUUUGCAUCUGCACAUCUGUUACUGCUCUUACUGUUUGAUCUAGAAUAUGUUUUUUGCUAUCAGUUGUAUGCUUGACCUGUACUGUCUAGUUUCUCAGAAAUUUUCAGAAAAAUAAGAAAGCACAGAUAAAGCUCCUCUUGAUCCCAGCACUGCUUUAGGUGGUUUCUCUGGGAAAAACUAUUCCGAGGCAUCAGCAUUUAUAAUAACUUAUCCUGUAAACAAUGCUAUUAAUAAAGAGGGGAAUGAAAUUGAAAGAGCAGUGGCAUGGGAGAAGGCCUUCAUUGAGCUGGCAAAGGAUGAGCUGUUGCAAAUGGUGCAAUCUAAAAACUUAACACUAUCUUUCUCAUCGGAGAGUUCCAUUGAAGAAGAACUUAAGAGUGAAAGCACUGCAGAUGCUAUUACAAUAUUGGUCCAUGAAGGUGCAUUUGGUUCUAUUAGUGAUGAUCAGUCACUUCUUAAAUACUUGGAAUCUCUGGGACAACAUCAGUAACAAGCAUGUCCGUAGUUGGUCAUCAAAGAGAGGUAGGGCUUUAAAGCAUCAAUUCAAGCUUAGUGAGCAGCUUGGUAAGCUCAUGUUUCUUCCCAGUCAGGCUUGGUGAGCAGCUUCUGUUUUAAUCUUGAAGUCGAGGAAGAUUAAAACAAAAGUGUCUGUUUCCUUGUAAAGCUUAAUCAUCUUGUAAACUUUCGUAGAAGCUUCAUUCCUUUUGUAACAUUCAUGAGAAAAAUUAAAAUG